AUACGUAGGGUCCGAGCGUUGUCCGGAAUUACUGGGCGUAAAGAGCUCGUAGGUGGUUUGUCGCGUUGUCCGUGAAAACUCACAGCUUAACUGUGGGCGUGCGGGCGAUACGGGCAGACUAGAGUACUGCAGGGGAGACUGGAAUUCCUGGUGUAGCGGUGGAAUGCGCAGAUAUCAGGAGGAACACCGGUGGCGAAGGCGGGUCUCUGGGCAGUAACUGACGCUGAGGAGCGAAAGCGUGGGGAGCGAACAGGAUUAGAUACCCUGGUAGUCCACGCCGUAAACGGUGGGUACUAGGUGUGGGUUCUUUCCUGAGGAUCCGUGCCGUAGCUAACGCAUUAAGUACCCCGCCUGGGGAGUACGGCCGCAAGGCUAAA
rnacentral:rRNA from 1 species